rnacentral:misc_RNA from 1 species
GAUGAAGAACUCAGCGAAAUGCGAUAAGUAAUGUGAAUUGCAGAAUUCAGUGAAUCAUCGAAUCUUUGAACGCACAUUGCGCCCGCCAGUAUUCUGGCGGGCAUGCCUGUUCGAGCGUCAUUUCAACCAUCAAGCCCCAGGCUUGUGUUGGGGACCUGCGGCUGCCGCAGGCCCUGAAAACCAGUGGCGGGCUCGCUGUCACACCGGGCGUAGUAGAUUUUAUCUCGCUCAGGGCGUGCUGCGGGUUCCGGCCGUUAAAAAGCCUUUUUUACCCAAGGUUGACCUCGGAUCAGGUAGGAAGACCCGCUGAACUUAAGCAUAUCAAUAAGCGGAGGA